CAGCCGCCGCGGUAAUACCGGCGGCCCGAGUGGCGGUCACUAUUAUUGGGCUUAAAGCGUCCGUAGCCGGGGUGGGAAGUCCUCCGGGAAAUCUGGCCGCUUAAAGGUCAGAAUGCCGGAGGAUACUCCCAGCCUAGGGAGCGGGGGAGGCCGCGGGGAUUCCCGGGGUAGGGGGGAAAUCCUAUAAUCCCGGGAGGACCACCUGUGGCGAAGGCGCUCGGCUGGAACGCGUCCGACGGUGAGGGACGAAGGCCAGGGGAGCAAACCGGAUUAGAUACCCGGGUAGUCCUGGCUGUAAACGAUGCGGACUUUGUGUCGGACAAGCUAUGAGCUUGUCCGGUGCCGGAGGGAAACCGUUAAGUCCGCCGCCUGGGGAGUACGGCCGCAAGGCUGAAACUUAAAGGAAUUGGCGGG
rnacentral:rRNA from 1 species